CUCCCAUCUCCUCCGCUUCUCGCCGGCCUCCUUUUCCUACCUUUGCCUGAAUGCUGACGCCGGACGUAAAUAUCGGACUGAUUCCGAUGCUGUUGGAACCGGUGAGCUGCCCAAUACUUCUUUUCCCCUGGUUUUCACGUCCCUAUUGGACGGCCUUUUAGUCACCGGCAGGUUUGGAAUUCCGGUAAGGUCGGGAAAAAGCGGAUGGUGAGAAGGGAAGAACAUGAAUAUCGGUAACGUCGGUGAGCUUACCGAUAUAUAUAUUUUCACGUCCCCAUUGGUCGGCCUUUUAGUCACCG
rnacentral:lncRNA from 1 species